CUUAACUUAUUUAUUUAACACUUUAACGCUGAACUGAACUUACAAUAAAUUCCGAUCAAAUAUUAUUAUGUUUGACACGUCUCGAUACUUCAGAUUCUCGUCGCUAACUGACUACUUACAAAAAGAAUUACGUUAAUAAUAAAAUAGAAUAGUUAAAAUACAUGUACGAUGUGAUAAAAUAACAUAUAGUAAAGUAUAAAUAUAACAAGGUAUUAAUAAUUUUGAUAAUUAAAUUUUCUUUUUCGGCUGAUAAAGUAGAGAGUUUCUUUAAUUUGUUGGUACAGUUGGCAAAGUUGGUACAGCGUACCUUAAUCCAAAGUUAGCGUAAAGUGGCUCUGAAGUCCGCUGCAAUCAUAAUUUCUUAAUUGAAGCGCUUUCCUGCAGACAAAUUGAUCAACAUCAUUUGAUCACUAACCUACCACGAGAGUUUCCAAUCCUAUAUACAGACCUAUAUAUGACCGAGAUCAGGAGUCCAGACCCCAAAUGUGGAACACAAAAAGGCAUUGAAUGUCACGGCUAUUAUGUACCUCGUGUUUUUCCUCUGCAGUGUGCAAUUGACUAUGUAGCCUGACUUUUUCUUUAUACUCUCUACUUCCACCUCUACUAUGAUCUCUGUCUCUAAAUAAAUUAUACAACAUUACAAUAAAACUGAAAAAUAAACAUAUUAA